rfam:Arabis alpina cultivar Pajares scaff_42456_1_contig_0, whole genome shotgun sequence.
AACUCCGCAGUCAAGUGUGCUUGGGCGAGAGUAGUACUAGGAUUUGUGACCUUCUGGGAAGUCCUCGUGUUCACCCCCC